rnacentral:rRNA from 1 species
ACUCAAAGGAAUUGACGGGGGCCCGCACAAGCGGUGGAGCAUGUGGUUUAAUUCGACGCAACGCGAAGAACCUUACCCAGACUUGACAUUGAUGAAAUCCCUUAGAAAUUUGGGAGUACCCUUCGGGGAUCUGAAAACAGGUGCUGCAUGGCUGUCGUCAGCUCGUGUCGUGAGAUGUUGGGUUAAGUCCCGCAACGAGCGCAACCCUCGUCGUUAGUUGCCAUCAGGUUAUGCUGGGCACUCUAGCGAGACUGCCGGUGUCAAACCGGAGGAAGGUGGGGAUGACGUCAAGUCCUCAUGGCCUUUAUGUCUGGGGCUACACACGUGCUACAAUGGCUACUACAAACUGAUGCGAACCAGUGAUGGGGAGCAAAUCGGAAAAAAGUAGUCUCAGUUCGGAUUGAAGUCUGCAACUCGACUUCAUGAAGCUGGAAUCGCUAGUAAUCGCGGAUCAGAACGCCGCGGUGAAUACGUUCCCGGGCCUUGUACACACCGCCCGU